UUUUCUUAAUUCAAAAACAAAUUAAAAAAAAAAAAAACCAAAGCAACUUUCCGUGGAACUUGAUGACACAAGCCUCGCGCAAAACGCCGAGUAGUAGCAUUUAGCACCACCAAACAGAAUGCUUUUCACACUUUUCAAGGCACCUGGCGCUAAACGUUGGGUAGUGGCGUCACCUUCACAAAAUCAUUGCACAAAUUACGAGGCCCUCAUCGUUGAAUGCCGAAUCGUGUAGUUUAGCGCCAUCUUCACAUAAUGCUGGCACAAAUUUUGAGGUUUGCGGCGCUAAACGCCGGGUAGUAGCGUUUAGUGCCAGCUUGAUAGCAACCAUUUUUAUCCCUUUUCUUCUGCACGAAUUUUGUCAAAUUCGCCCGAAUUUUACCUGUAAUCAACAAAAUAGCAAUACAACUCAAAGUAGCAUUAAUGAUGGUCUAAAGCACCAAAAUCUCAUGAAAACUCAACAAAUUCACAUCAAAUUUACUAAGAAAAGAUAGGAAAGAUGUUCACGCAUCACAUGUAUCCAUGUUCAUGAAGUUUCGAGGAGAGGAGCACCAUCAAUAUUUGUCCAUGUCUUUACAAAUCUUAGUAUUGGGUCCGAUCUUAGCUCCAUUCGAGGUUGUGGACAGCAAAAUUGUGCUGCAAAAUGGCAGAGAGGUGCACCAGGUACUUAUCCAAUGGGGCCAAGGCUCCGGCAUAGGAGAAUACAUUAGAGUUUAUGAAAGAUUAUUCUUUGUUUCAACUUUGAAGACAAGGUUGACGUUAAAGAAGGUAAUAAUGUUAUGAAUAGAGGGGUAAAUAAGGAAAGAAAUAUUGUAACAAACUCCAAAAUGAAUGAAGUCUGCACCACUAAUGAUAGUUGGUAAGGCAAGAAGGAUAAGUGUCAGACAAUCCGCAAAUUCAGAAUCUCAAAAAGGGGCAACAGAACGAGAGCUACAAAUAGGAAGUUGCAGGAUUUUUAGUGGCAGCUGAAUGUGGUCCUUGACGUAGGGAAUUUCUGCUACAUGUCCUCUACAUCCACGUACCUGUAUUCCUUUCGUAUUUCCUAAAGUUAUCUAUAUUUCGUUUAUUUUUCCAUGUAAUUACUCAUACCAGACUUCAGCGUUACAUUGAUUAUUGAAUUUCUAUUACUGUUUCUUUGAUUA